rnacentral:lncRNA from 1 species
CUCCCUCCUUUGCAUGUGUCAUCUUGUCCCUACUUGUUAAAUAUAAAAAUAUAUAAACACCGUUCUCUAAUAGCUUAAACUUUUAGAGUACAACGGUUGUUUCACAUGAUAUCACGGCAGGAGGUUCUGAGUUCAAGUCACGCCAGGCUCCUAGCAUAUUAAUUUUCUCCUAUUUAAUUCAAGCCCACAUCAUAGGCCGACUAAAAAGUCUCGAGCCCAGAUGUGAAGGAGAGUGUUAAAUAUAAAAAUAUAUAAACACCGUUCUCUAAUAGCUUAAACUUUUAGAAUACAACAGUUGUUUCACACUACUCAUACUCAAAUCACAUUCACUUGCUCCUCACCCAUGAUCCAACACCUCAACCCAAAAAAAUAUUAAAUAAA